rnacentral:rRNA from 1 species
CGGGACGGGUGAGUAACGCGUGGGUAACCUCGCCCUAUACACACGGAUAACAUACCGAAAGGUAUGCUAAUACGAGAUGAUAUAAGAAAUUCGCAUGUUUUUCUUAUCAAAGCUGAGGCGGUAUAGGAUGGACCCGCGUCUGAUUAGCUAGUUGGUAAGGUAAUGGCUUACCAAGGCGACGAUCAGUAGCCGACCUGAGAGGGUGAUCGGCCACAUUGGAACUGAGACACGGUCCAA